UACGUAGGGUGCGAGCGUUAAUCGGAAUUACUGGGCGUAAAGCGUGCGCAGGCGGUUUUGUAAGCCAGAUGUGAAAGCCCCGGGCUUAACCUGGGAAUGGCAUUUGGGACUGCAAGGCUUGAGUGUGGCAGAGGAGACUGGAAUUCCUGGUGUAGCAGUGAAAUGCGUAGAUAUCAGGAGGAAUACCGAUGGCGAAGGCAGGUCUCUGGGCUGACACUGACGCUGAGGAGCGAAAGCAUGGGGAGCGAACAGG
rnacentral:rRNA from 1 species